UUUGCAUCUAAGUUGAUUUUUCUCCGUUUUAAGGUGUGUUAUGGCCUUUAGAAAUACUGUUUUUCAAGUUUAAUACCCCCAGUAGAAGUUUACUACCUCUAGUAAACUUUAGUAAAAAUUUUACUAACCCCAGUAAACUUUAUUUUUUUGCAUCUAAGUUGAUUUUUCUCCGUUUUAAGGUGUGUUAUGGCCUUUAGAAAUACUGUUUUUCAAGUUUAAUACCCCCAGUAGAAGUUUACUACCUCUAGUAAACUUUAGUAAAAUUUUUACUAACCCCAGUAAACUUUAUUUUUUUGCAUCUAAGUUGAUUUUUCUCCGUUUUAAG